UUGAACGCUGGCGGCAGGCCUAACACCUGCCAGUCGAACGGUAACAGGAAGAAGCUUGCUUCUUUGCUGACGAGUGGCGGCCGGGUGGGUAAUGUCUGGGAAACUGCCUGAUGGAGGGGGAUAACUACUGGAAACGGUAGCUAAUACCGCAUAACGUCGCAAGACCAAAGAGGGGGACCUUCGGGCCUCUUGCCAUCGGAUGUGCCCAGAUGGGAUUAGCUAGUAGGUGGGGUAAUGGCUCACCUAGGCGACGAUCCCUAGCUGGUCUGAGAGGGUGACCAGCCACACUGGAACUGAGACACGGUCCAGACUCCUACGGGAGGCAGCAGUGGGGAAUAUUGCACAAUGGGCGCAAGCCUGAUGCAGCCAUGCCGCGUGUAUGAAGAAGGCCUUCGGGUUGUAAAGUACUUUCAGCGGGGAGGAAGGAAGUAAAGUUAAUACCUGUGCUCAUUGACGGUACCCGCAGAAGAAGCACCGGCUAACUCCGUG
rnacentral:rRNA from 1 species